rnacentral:rRNA from 1 species
CACGUAGGGUGCGAGCGUUGUCCGGAAUUAUUGGGCGUAAAGAGCUCGUAGGCGGUGUGUCGCGUCGGCCGUGAAAACCUGCAGCUUAACUGUGGGCGUGCGGUCGAUACGGGCAUCACUGGAGUUCGGCAGGGGAGACUGGAAUUCCUGGUGUAGCGGUGAAAUGCGCAGAUAUCAGGAGGAACACCGGUGGCGAAGGCGGUUCUCUGGGCAUGACCUGACGCUGAGGAGCGAAAGUGUGGGGAGCGAACAGG